GACGAACGCUGGCGGCGUGCUUAACACAUGCAAGUCGUACGGUAAGGCCCUUUCGGGGGUCCACGAGUGGCGAACGGGUGAGUAACACGUGAGUAACCUGCCCACAACUUUGGGAUAACGCUAGGAAACUGGUGCUAAUACUGGAUAUGUGCUCCUGCUGCAUGGUGGGGGUUGGAAAGCUCCGGCGGUUGUGGAUGGACUCGCGGCCUAUCAGCUUGUUGGUGGGGUAGUGGCCCACCAAGGCGGCGACGGGUAGCCGGCCUGAGAGGGUGACCGGCCACAUUGGGACUGAGAUACGGCCCAGACUCCUACGGGAGGCAGCAGUGGGGAAUAUUGCACAAUGGGCGCAAGCCUGAUGCAGCAACGCCGCGUGCGGGAUGACGGCCUUCGGGUUGUAAACCGCUUUCAGCAGGGACGAAGCUUUUUGUGACGGUACCUGCAGAAGAAGCACCGGCUAACUACGUG
rnacentral:rRNA from 1 species